UUCUUCAAUGCCAUACCUGACAAAUAUCUCUGUCUCUUUAUAACGAUAUCGAUCUCUCUCUCUACUCUCAGUCCAUUUCUUUAUAGGUCUAUGUUUUGGCCACAUUCGGUUAUCAAAAUCGUCGUCGAUUGACGAUUAGUGUAAAAUGUAAAUGAGCCGUUUAAUAAAUUGUCUUCAGCUAAUAGCCAUUGAUUAAAUACAUUUUGUAUUUACCUACACAGCUACCGCCUACUAUAAGUGGCUUUAGCUGGCCUUUAAAGUACAAAAAAAAGUCGUUAAAUUUUCUUUUUACAGUGUAUUUGAGAUACGAAUUAACGCGGGUAACAACUAAAACGCAAUUAUUUUUCGGACAAGAUCCAAAUGCAUCGUCCACGUUUAUGAUGACUUCGUCGGUCGAUCUCUUAUACUAGAAAACAAGAAGCGGCAUUAUAUGAUCAAAAUCACAUUCAAUAUACAUUAUAAUUUGAUUUAACGGACGCGACUGUAAAUUAGUAAUAAUAUUGUGCACGAAAACAAACACAAAAAUCAUCAUGGUGAAUUUGGUCGAACCUCCACUUCUUGCUGUCGGUACUGAGGUCAGUGCCUAGUAUAAAGGAGCAUUUUGUGAUGCAAAGAUCAGGAAAACCUCAAAAUCAGUAAAAUGCAAGAUUGGUGCAAAUGUAAUGAAAAGAAAGAGUUAUAAGAAGGAACAAUUCAAAAAAUACAGGACUAUUGUCAAAACACUGUUGGGAAAGUGGAGAGGAAGACAUUUUAGAAAUGGAAGAAAAAGACAUUGGUAACAUGGUGUGCAUAGAGUUCAAUAACAAAAAAAAAGUCAGAGACAAUUGGUUUCCCGGGUUAGUGCUAGCGCCUACUGCACAAUUUGCAGUCAAAACAAACGUUUUGGAAGACUACUUGGUUCGUUCUUUUAAAGAUGGAAAAUACUGUACAGUUUUGAAAAAAGAAAUUACAGAAUUUACAAAAGAAAUAGCCCCCAAAGUAGAAAAUCCUACUUUAAAAACGGCUGUUGAAAAAGCGAUUUUAUAUCUGGACAAAGAUGAACUUCGGCCACAUUAGGACCGUGACUUACUGUUUGGACUCGAAAAAAACUGUGUCAUGACAGUGAAGGCGUUAUAAUAUUGAUAACUCCAAUUAAGAAUCUAUUGAAGACCAUUUUGGGCACUAUUAUUCAAUUUUAUGGAUGUCCGAGGGACACCUAUAAAAACCAAGCACCCAUGAUUAACGACAAAAAUGUUGAUGUGUACAAACUGUUCAAGGUUGUCAUUAACUUGGGCGGUUUUAACAAAGUCAGUAAAUGUUAACAGUGGAUAACUGGCACAAAGGAUUGGCCACAAACCGUGUUUCUUCUGUCAAACAAUAUUACCAACAGUAUCUACAUAGUAUUGAAGAUUUCUACCAAAAACUCGGCUGCUUGAUGAUAAGUCAUCUUAGAGGAGUGAGAUCUGGAAGCAGAUUUAGUCGCAGUAUCAUUCAUGAUGUGGAUAAAGCGUUACCCUCUAGCAGUUUUGAUAAGAACAGGCAAACGACUAUUGCCAUUAAAUUAGAACCUAAGGAAUAAAAAGAAAAAAUAGAAACUUUCAUAAAGGAAGCCGAUAUUGUCAAAGAACCGGUGACACCAAAAAAACCUUCCAAAACUUUAAAAGUCGAAGACAAGGUUGCUUUAACUUUGAAGAGUAGUGAUAAACAUGUUGCUAAGAAAGUAGAUAAGAAAAAAUACAGGCCUGAAACAAUCGGAAAGAAAACGGAACCGUUUGUCUGAAAAAAAGCCUUUGAAAACCGUAAGGGUAGAAGAGAAGGUGGCAGCAACAUUAAAGAACAACAUUGAAAUUCCACACAAAGUUGACAGAAAAAAAGAAAAGUCUGAAAUCGUUUUGAAAGAAAAGGAAAUGGCUACUGAGUCUGUGACUAAAAAGCCAAGUAAAACGAAAAUAGAAGAAACAAUUACUUGUUCUGGUAAUAGUGCUCGAAACAAAUCUACUGUUAAAAGUGACUCUGUACUGGCUGAAUCAAAAGAUCUUCCUAAGGACAGCAAGGUUAAAAAGGAAUUUAAAGAAGCUACUGUUUAAAAAAAAAGGAAGGAAAAAACGCCAUUAUUUAAAAAAUCCAAAGAGAAGCUUCUGCUAACCAAAUUACAGCCAAACCAAAAAUCGAAGAGGAACUACCAAUGUAUUACCAUUCGUUGUCGUCAACGCUGUCGUCCGAAGACGAGCAGAUCCAGCUCAAGAAGAGAAGAAUCGUUGAUGACAAAAAACUGUCGUCGUUGCUGAAGAAACGGGGUGAAGAAUCCAAACGUUGAUUGCGACAUACACAAGCCUAGCACGAGCAAAGGGUUUUUCAACGCCAUGCGCCAUCAACCUUAACAGCAACCCGAUCGCGAACAUCAUUUCUACGAGUCCAAAUCGCCUUCCAAAACUGAGGCGGUAGCGGUUUGUACGAACCAAGUUCGUCUAAGGUUAAUUUGUUUAGAACCCGAAAGCAAACGGUACAAUCAUAGCAAAAUAACAAUUCCUACUAAAGAUGGUAAACCGCUGGUUACGUUCACACCAGAGAUGGAUUCGGCUCAACGUCAAGCAGUGAUUUUUUUGUAUAAAAUCAACAAACUUCAAAAAGAUUACACCACGGACAAAGCACGCAUUGUAGUGCUGGAUCGCAGGAGAAAGAAGAUCAGGAAACGCAAGAGGGAACUAGCAAAGAGAACAGCCGCAGUGAAUCCGAACAAACAG